UACGUAGGGGGCUAGCGUUGUCCGGAAUCAUUGGGCGUAAAGAGCGUGUAGGCGGUCCGGUAAGUCCGCUGUGAAAGUCGGGGGCUCAACCCUCGAAUGCCGGUGGAUACUGUCGGGCUAGAGUACGGAAGAGGCGAGUGGAAUUCCUGGUGUAGCGGUGAAAUGCGCAGAUAUCAGGAGGAACACCUAUUGCGAAGGCAGCUCGCUGGGACGUAACUGACGCUGAGACGCGAAAGCAUGGGUAGCGAACAGG
rnacentral:rRNA from 1 species